rnacentral:tRNA from 1 species
GAGAGAGGCUCGCAGCUACGAAGAUUGCUAAACUCCGUCACUUUGGUUAGACUCCAGAGCUCACUCA